UCACAUCAAAAAAAUUAAUAUCUAAUAUCAAAUAUAUUUUAAUAUGAAACUAAAUAUUUUGUUAAUAUAUAAUAUAUCCUCAUAUAUAUAAAUAUAUAUCAUUAAUAACAAUAUAUACUAUAUAUGAUAUACGAUAUUAUUUAUUUCUUUUAUAGAUAAAUAAUAUAUAUAUAAUUAAAUAUUUUAUUUUGAUAAUUAAUAUAUCGGGCUUUUGGGUCGGGCUCAGGCCGGGCUUGGACAUACCCAAAAAGGCCCAAAAUUUCUUCGGGCCUAAAUUUUUAAGCCCGGCCCGAACCCAAAGAUAUAUUUUUAAUACCCAAAGCCCGGCCCAAACAUGGCCCAUCAGGCCGGGCCUUGUUUAGGCCCGGGCCCAGUUCCACCCCUAGUGGUACCGGUACUUAGCAUCCCAAAACCUGCAGUUUGCAUAAUUUGUUGCUAAGGACUCACUCUCGUUUCACAAAACACGAGUAAUAGUACAUAGUCAACGACCCUCGAACACACCAAGAAUAGUACCAAAUACUAUUCUGACACUGGAACCUUACAAUUUGCUAAACUUCAGUGUACUACACCUUUUUUCUCAAAUCACAAAAAUGUGCAAUUUAGCCCAUAUGGAUCAUAAUUUCAUACCCAAAACUCACCUAUAAGUGUGUUUUGCUCACAAGUACCUCCACCUCAAAAAUCAUGCAAUUUGACCUAUGAAAUGCCGCACUUUUUGCAUAAAUACUUUGAUUCAAUAAAUUUGCUCUUACGCAAUAUCAUCCCAAAAAUAUCACCAUAUCACGCCAAACUGUAUCGGGGUCCAUUAUAGGACUUAUAGCUCUAGUAGACCACAAAUGUGGCACUUUUCGUUUCGUCGAAAAUCAUUUCUAAAUGUGCAAUAAAACACCAAUUUUAGAAAAUUCAUUGUAAAAUAUUCUCGAGUACUACGUCACAACCCCCUUAAAAGAAGUUUCGUCCUCGA
rnacentral:lncRNA from 1 species